GUGCUCGCUUUGGCAGCACAUAUACUGGAAUUGGAACAAUGCAGAGAUUAGCGUGGCCCCUGC
rnacentral:snRNA from 1 species